AAGAAUUUAGUUUAGCUAAAACAUUACCUUGUCAAGAUAAAAACAUAAUACAAAAAUUAUAAUUCUUA
rnacentral:tRNA from 1 species